AAUCAACGCUGGCGGCGUGCCUCAGACAUGCAAGUCGAACGCGAAAGGUUCCUUCGGGAGCCGAGUAGAGUGGCGCUCGGGUGAGUAACACGUAGGUAAUUUGCCUUUGGGUGGGGAAUAACAAUCGGAAACGGUUGCUAAUACCGCAUAAUGCAGCGGCUCGACAUCGAGACAGUUGUUAAAGCGGGGGAUCCUUCGGGACCUCGCGCCUAAAGAGAAGCCUGCGGCGGAUUAGCAGUUGGUGAGGUAAUGGCUCACCAAGGCGACGAUCCGUAACCGGCCUGAGAGGGCGGACGGUCACACUGACACUUAAAUACGGGUCAGACUCCUACGGGAGGCAGCAGUCGGGAAUUUUGGGCAAUGGGCGAAAGCCUGACCCAGCAACGCCGCGUGAAGGAUGAAAUCCCUCGGGAUGUAAAC
rnacentral:rRNA from 1 species